rnacentral:rRNA from 1 species
UACGUAGGGUGCGAGCGUUGCCCGGAUUUAUUGGGCGUAAAGAGCGCGUAGGCGGCCACGCACGUCCGUUGUGAAAUCGCUCGGCUCAACUGGGCGGGGUCAGCGGAUACGGUGUGGCUAGAGCAAGCUAGGGGGCAAUGGAAUUCCCGGUGUAGUGGUGGAAUGCGUAGAUAUCGGGAGGAACACCAGUGGCGAAGGCGGUUGCCUGGAGCUUUGCUGACGCUGAUGCGCGAAAGCGUGGGGAGCGAUCCGG